GAAACAACUUUUAAAAGUUUGUUUUCUUUGAUAUUGGACCAAUACCAUCAUAGUUAUUCAUGAUCAAGAGAUAGUAAGUAGAGGUCUUUCCUGUGCUUUUUCGUUUGAUUAUAAACACUUUCUUUUGAUUUCAUUCAUUUUUUUUUUUAAUGAAAACUGGUUUUGAGGAGACUUAUUAAUGAAGAACUAGAUCUGUUAUGGUUUUAUACAAUAUUAGUUUCUUUCAUUUGAUAUUUAUUAUUUAAUGGCAUUACCAUGUUCUGUACCUCGUCGCUAAAAAAGUAGCUAUUUACAUUAGUUGUCCCAUAUAAAUCUGAUUGAAAUCCACUCUUUUUAAAAGAGCUUCAGUGUUAUGUUGUUCAGUAAUUCGUUUUCUUUAGUUUUUAUAUACUUAUAUAUAUAUUAUUUGUUGGUUUAUUUCUUGUUGUGACUUGGUCUCGGCUGUAGUUCAGUGUUGUUGUGGCUUUGUACAGGCGUACACAAAGUCUAGUUUUUGUUUCCAUAGUUUGUCCAUUUUUAUGAAAAUGGUUGUGGGUUUAUCAUUAUGGUACAUGUACUGCAUUUUAAUUCUGUGAAACUUUUUGAAAUUCACAAAUUUAUUUUGUAUGUUUUACUAGAGUUAAAUUAUCAAUUAGAUACAAGGGUAUUUACAAGUAUGUACAUUUACUGUAAUUAUAUCUUUCAUUGUCUGUGUAUUUAAUGACUUCUCAGCAUAACAUCUGCAUUUAUUUUGAAUGCCUUAACCAAUGGACAAAAUUUACAGAUUAUUAGACCCCCCCCCCCUCCCUUACUCCUACCACAGCUUACUGUCAUUUCUCUCUGUUUUGAGGCAUAAUAUCUCCUAUAAUGUCUAACUCCCACUCGAGUCUUGAUCUGUGCAAUAUAUGUGUCAACGUGUGUCCAUUUAUGAUGCAUAUGUGAUGAUGAUAUUUCAAAAGUUUUCUAUAUUUUGACUAAGACUUGCAAUGAUAGAGAAUAUUCUCCAUGGCCAUGAGAGAGAAUGGUUCGCUGUACAUACUGGUAUCAAUGAAAAGUUGUCACAUUUUUUUGUUCUUUUUCUUUUUUAAUGAAGUAUAUAUAUAAUAUUUAAUUAAAAAAUUUAACGUAUUUG
rnacentral:sRNA from 1 species